AGACAGUCUAUGCUAACAACCGACAACAGUUUGCUCCAAAAGAUGGCAGAAAUAGCCGGAUCGUCAUCCAGAGAGGAAAUCCUGAAGGAAAGUGGGCCUCCCGCCAUACUUGGACAAGGUCCCAAUGUGUGGAUAAUAGGGAGCAGCUACGUUAGACGUGGGGAAGAAAGAGCCAGACACACCAUGGGAAGCAACCUGGGUCUCAAUUGCCGUGUGUGGUGGUUUGGCAAGGGUGGUCUGAGGUGGAGGAACCUUCUUCCCUUUUUCUAUCAGUCCUUGAGAGGAA